rnacentral:rRNA from 1 species
AACGAACGCUGGCGGCAGGCCUAACACAUGCAAGUCGAACGCCCGUAGCAAUACGGGAGUGGCGGACGGGAGAGAAACGCGUGGGUAUCUACCUAGCAGUACGGAAUAACCGCGGGAAACUGCGGCUAAUACCGUAUACGCCCUACGGGGGAAAGAUUUAUCGCUGCUGGAUGAGCCCGCGUCCGAUUAGCUAGUUGGCGGGGUAAUGGCCCACCAAGGCUAUGAUCGGUAGCUGGUCUGAGAGGACGAUCAGCCUCACUGGGACUGAGACACGGCCCAGACUCCUACGGGAGGCAGCAGUGGGGAAUAUUGGACAAUGGGGGAAACCCUGAUCCAGCCAUGCCGCGUGGGUGAUGAAGGCCUUCGGGUUGUAAAGCCCUUUUGGCGGGGACGAUAAUGACGGUACCCGCAGAAUAAGCCCCGGCUAACUUCGUGCCAGCAGCCGCAGUAAAAC